GCGAAGGAAAAAAGUUCAGUUGAUUUCAAGAUACGCCGACAAAGUUCCAGCGCCAGUGAGUGAGCGUUUAUCUAGAGAUCUUGGUUUCAGUUGUCGUUGGUCUGUAAAUUUCGCCAUGAAAUCGACGAAACGUUGUGGAUAUUAUGGUUUUGUGCGUGAAUUUUAUUAUUGCAUCGAAUUCGAAAAGAGCACUGCAGAGUAUCUGUUGUGAAUGGAAAGUUUGAGGUUGGCCUUCUCCGCUUCAAGAUACCGACGCUGCCAUCACCUGACGUUGCAGCAUCGGAUUGAAAACAACUUUGUGCAAGAGAGGAAAAGAGUAAUAAGAGGCGAAUAAAGGACUGCUUUCAAUCUCUAUUGUUUUCGGAGAAGAUGACUAUGGAAGAAAUAGUUUAUGAAAAAUUAAAUAACCUUUAUCAAAGUAGAGAGGGGAAAGAGAGAAAAAUAGUAAUAGGUCUAUUACAACCCGUAAAAGCAUCAAAGAACUUAUUAAAAUUUUGUCGGGAGAAAAACAUAACGAGAAGAAAAACUCAAAAGUGUAUUACUUGUAUAAAUAUUAUUGUACUGUAGAUGAUGAUAAUGGAAUGAAACAACUAGCCAAGUAUACUAAUAAUAAUAAUACAUUUCUUAUAAUGGUUGGAUACGAAGAUUUGUAUAGAAUUAUUCACGAAGCUCAUAUAAACUGCGGCCAUAGUAAAAAAAACUGUGUAUUAUAUAUCACUUGAAAUGUGUUUUGGUAUUAGCUAAUAUUACCUAUUGUCAAAUUCAAGCAUACAAAUCCUUAUGUAUAAAUUGUAUUAAAAAGGAAUUUAGGAUCCCCAAUUUAACUUCUUCUCUUUUGCCAAUUAUAUCUGCAGGAUUUGGGCAAUGAGGUCAAGUAGAUUUGAUUGAGAUGUCUUUCUUGCGAAGCGUUCUAUAUUCUCAGUUAUCAAGAUCACUCGACUAAAUUUUGUAUCUUAAAACCUGUGCUUAAUAAAGACACUGAUACUGUAUCGAAAA